GGGGUGGUAGUCUAGCUUGGCUAUGAUACGUGCCCGGGGCGCACGUGGUCGUGAGUUCGAAUCUCACCCACCCCA
rnacentral:tRNA from 1 species